rnacentral:rRNA from 1 species
AAUGAACGCUGGCGGCGCGCCUAAUACAUGCAAGUCGAGCGAGAAGACGUAGCAAUACGUUUGUAAAGCGGCGAACGGGUGAGGAAUACAUGGGUAACCUACCCUCGAGUGGGGAAUAACUAGCCGAAAGGUUAGCUAAUACCGCGUACGCUUCUUGGACUUCGGUUCAGGGAGGAAAGCGAUACCGUGGGUAUCGCGCUCUUGGAUGGGCUCAUGUCCUAUCAGCUUGUUGGGAGGUAACGGCUCACCAAGGCUUCGACGGGUAGCGGUC